rnacentral:rRNA from 1 species
UACGGAGGGUGCAAGCGUUGUCCGGAAUUAUUGGGCGUAAAGCGCGCGCAGGCGGCUUCUUAAGUCUGAUGUGAAAGCCCACGGCUCAACCGUGGAGGGUCAUUGGAAACUGGGUCACUUGAGUGCAGGAGAGGGGAGUGGAAUUCCACGUGUAGCGGUGAAAUGCGUAGAUAUGUGGAGGAACACCAGUGGCGAAGGCGACUCUCUGGCCUGUAACUGACGCUGAGGCGCGAAAGCGUGGGGAGCAAACAGG